rnacentral:rRNA from 1 species
UACGUAGGGUGCAAGCAUUAUCCGGAGUGACUGGGCGUAAAGAGUUGCGUAGGUGGUUUGUUAAGUAGGUAGUGAAAUCUGGCGGCUCAACCGUACAGGCUAUUACCUAAACUGGCAGACUCGAGAAUGGUAGAGGUAACUGGAAUUUCUUGUGUAGGAGUGAAAUCCGUAGAUAUAAGAAGGAACACCAAUGGCGUAGGCAGGUUACUGGACCAUUUCUGACACUGAGGCACGAAAGCGUGGGGAGCGAACGGG